GCUGGUACUGUACAUCCCCGUGUCCUCAGUCUCACAGGCAGCAACACACGGGUCUCGAGAUAGGCUGCACUGCUGCACGAGACUUUACUGCAGCAUACGGCUCGUGCCUCAGAGCGUUUUUCAAAGAUUACCGUCAAUAAAAAGAGCGACAGAUAAAGACAGAGAGACACAGUACACAGACUGACGAGCAGCAAACAAACGUCCUGUAGGUGAAGGUGCCUUUUUUUUGGUUCAUCCUCUCGCUCUACCUUUCCCAAGCCUUCUUCAUCCUCCUCCUCCUCCCUUCUCCCUCUCUCUCUCUCUGUGUCUCUGUGAUGCCGGGCUGUGGGUGAGUGUAUGCCCGUGACCAGACUGAAGCUGGGGAAGCUAAAGGUGGUGCGGCGGCAGCUGCUGCAAAGGUAUGAACACCAGCCCUUUGUCUCCUGUCUGGCCGGCCUCUACGGUUGCCAAUGGAGACGAUACCAGAGAGCCCGGGCGCAGCCAGGAGAGUGCUGCUGCAGCAAGGUGGAGUGUGGCAGUUUUGGCCUCCUGAUCCUCACCUUCUUCCUGAGUUUUUUAUUCCUCUAUUUCUGGAGUGAAGCUCAGAAUGACUACAUCGACUUUGACUGGUUUAACUUUGGGACUCUGGGUUUCUGGUUUCCCUGGUCUCUGGUCCUGCUGGUCGUUGCUGCUACUCUCUUCACAUACAUUGCCCUACUACUGGUGCUGGCAGUGUGUCUUCUUUCUGAGGGUCAGAGACUGUACCUUCACUGGAGCCACAAGACUGGCAUUGUGGUGACAUUGGCAUUCUCCGUCACAGCCACUGCCGUUUUGUCUGACCUCUGGAGCAAGGAAUGGAAGACUCUCCUUCUCUCCCUGCAAGUGACGGCACCUUUCCUCCAUGUGGCUGCUGUCUCGCUAAUGGUGAUUCUCUCCUGGCCACUAGCGUUGCACUUCUUUCGCAUGAACAAGAAAGUGCGUCAGGUGGCUGUCCUGGGUCUCUUCCUGUCCGUGCUGUUCUCUCUCUACCUGGUACCUCUGGGAAUGUACUCACCCUGCAUUAAAGAGGCAGGAAUGCUUGGACCCGCCCCGACACUCAUCGGACACAGAGGAGCUCCAAUGCUUGCUCCAGAGAAUACUGUGAUGUCGUUUGAGAGGGCAGUGGAGGCUGGAGGAGAAGGACUAGAGACAGAUGUCACUAUCAGUUUUGAUGGUGUUCCUUUCCUGAUGCACGACUCCACUCUGAAGAGAACCACUAAUGUUGCUGAGGUUUUCCCAAAUCGAACACACAUCGAUGCGUCCAUGUUCACCUGGGCCGAGCUACAGCAGCUCAAUGCUGGCAACUGGUUUUUAUCGAGAGAUCCAUUUGGGACUGUGUCAUCCCUGUCUGAGGCAGACUGCUCCCAUGCCCAGAACCAGUCUGUACCCUCACUGGCCCAGUUCCUGAGGGUAGCGGCCCGCACCAAUAGACUUGUGCUGUUUGACCUGCGCAGGCCACCAAACGGACAUCCCUACAGUCAGUCAUACAUUAACACCACUCUGCAGGUGGUGCAGGCUCACAUCAACUCCUCACAGGUGCUGUGGCUGCCGUCUGAGGACAGGGAGUUGGUCCAGGCUAUGGAUCCAGAGCUGCAGCAGACCUCUGGAGAAAAGGCUUCUAUCCAGGAACUGACGGAUGGCCACAUCACCAGACUGAACCUGCACUACAGCACCAUGUCACAACAACAGUUUAGUAAGUACCAGUCAGUCAACAUCAGCACUAACCUGUAUGUGAUUAGCCAGCCGUGGCUCUACUCUCUGGCCUGGUGUGCUGGAGCCCAGUCCGUAACCACCAACUCCAUCCACAUCCUGUCCAAAAUCAACAAGCCGCUCUUCCUCAUGACUCCAGAGGAAUAUAGUUUGAUGUGGAUUCUGACUGAUGCUGUGUCGGCCUUCCUCAUCACUGCAGUUUUCAUAUUCCAUUGGUGGAGAGAGAGAGGCCUGCCCUUCUGGUCCGGGAGCCGUCAGCCUCACGAGAAUGGACCAUACAGCAAAUUCAGGACGGACUCUUCAGAAGUCAUCUGUGUUCGCUGGAGCCCCCUCCACUCUGACCCCCCUACUGGAGCCCUCAUCUCCCUCCCUUUGGUCUUCAACCCAUGACACCCUGCAUGUCAGCCCUGCAUGUCCACCCUGCAUGUCCACCCUUCAGGAACCUUAGCUGAGUGACGUGUGGUCCAUCUCCAGUGUCAACGUCCGGCCUGACCUACGGAGCACACCAAACUCACCCAGUACCCCACAUCUGCCCACUAUUACAGAGGAGUGACUGGGGGAAAGAGAGAGACAGACAGAGACAGACAGAGAGACAGAGAGAGACAAGAAAGGUACAGAUAAUGUCAGAUGAAAAAAAAAUACUUUGAGAGUAUUAAAGCCCCUGUUAACUUGGUUUCAAAUCGAAGUAUUUGUCAGUAACAAUAAAUAUUCAUGACUAAAUAAGUCAGUGUUUCCCCUAUAUCCAUUUAGUAGUGGCACUGCACUGCUGCUAAAUGAUAAGUGCUGCUGCUAUAUAAAAAUCUCCCCAUAAGCAACUAAGUCGCUCAAAUCAAUCAGCCACCAAUCUUUAUUGGCGGAUCUACAUAGUUUGUGAGACAGUUUCUCUAUACACUGCUAAAAUAACUUCACAAGUCUGGUGGUUCUGACAAACCAUGUACCUGAACACGGUUUGAAUGUUUGAACGUUUACUGUUACAUUCAUGGUUUAUUGCUAACAUGACAUCCAGCUCACCUGCAAGUCCUGAGUGCAGACACACUGUGUCUCUUUCCUUGCUGCCACCACACACACGCAUGGGUGUGAUACACUCAGCUGUUUUCAGUGUUAACAUUUAGCUUUGUUUUGUCCUGUAUUGUGUCCACACGACAACAUGGCAUUGUUCUGUAUACCAACUCUUUCUCAUCUGUAUUUCUUCAGGAUUAGAUUUUUGUCUCUGCUACUGGAAAUUCAGAGUUUACAAGGGGGGAUCAGGGGCAGCAGUAACAAUUUUUGGUUUUGACCAAGCGGGGCUGAAAAAUGAAGCCAACAUGGAAGUGCCAAAAACUUCAGUUCCUCAAAUGGCCACCUGAGGUUGGCUCCAGAGGCAAGUCGAUCCCCAUAGACCCCCAUGCUAAAAUGCCCAACUUUAAAGCAGAAAUAAACAUGUUUACAGCCUGGUACAAAUAACAUUUUUCAUCACUAUAGCUAAUUUCUGCGUUCAUGACAAUUGUACAGGAGGUGAAUUUUUAACUCGCCUGUUUACAUUUUAUUGAGACUUAAAGUUACGCACAUUUAGGGGCGGGUUUCUUUGACAGGCAGACUGUCUGCGAGGGGUCACCACAGUCUAAUCUACGCCUCACUCCUCCACAGCUCCACCCUCUCAUUCGAAUUUGUUCACUUCUGCCUCUGUGACGUCACGGCAGCUACGUCCAUUGUUUUUUUCCAGUCUAUGGUUUUGAUGUCAUUACUCAGAAACCCCUUGAACUACUUGGAUAAAAUUUUAUGUAGGUAACUUGUUAUCUGUGUUUUAGUUGAUAAUAGUCAUCAAUUGUUUUUACAACUAAUAGAGUCACAAUAUUGAUCCAAACACUAGAUGUCAAAUGUUAGUCUGAAGAAACAAUUGUAACAGUAUGUGGGUUAUGAGAAGCAUUACAAUAAACAUAACUUCAGAUCUA